rnacentral:rRNA from 1 species
UACGUAGGGUGCAAGCGUUACUCGGAAUUACUGGGCGUAAAGCGUGCGCAGGCGGUUUUGUAAGUCUGUCGUGAAAUCCCCGGGCUCAACCUGGGAAUGGCGAUGGAGACUGCAAGGCUAGAGUUUGGCAGAGGGGGGUAGAAUUCCACGUGUAGCAGUGAAAUGCGUAGAUAUGUGGAGGAACACCGAUGGCGAAGGCAGCCCCCUGGGUCAAAACUGACGCUCAUGCACGAAAGCGUGGGGAGCAAACAGG